rnacentral:rRNA from 1 species
UACGAAGGUCCCAAGCGUUGUUCGGAAUAACUGGGCGUAAAGCGUGUGUAGGCUGCGCGGAAAGUCAAAUGUGAAAGCCAAGGGCUCAACCCUUGAACUGCAUUCGAUACUCCCGUGCUAGAGUAAUGGAGAGGAAAGCGGAACUCACAGUGUAGCGGUGAAAUGCAUAGAUAUUGUGAGGAACACCAGUGGCGAAGGCGGCUUACUGGCUCGAUACUGACGCUGAGGUGCGAAAGUGUGGGGAGCAAACAGG